rnacentral:rRNA from 1 species
UACGUAGGGGGGCAAGCGUUGUCCGGAAUCAUUGGGCGUAAAGAGCGCGUAGGCGGCCCUGUAAGUCCGCUGUGAAAGUCAAGGGCUCAACCCCUUGGAUGCCGGUGGAUACUGCAGGGCUAGAGUCCGGAAGAGGCGAGUGGAAUUCCUGGUGUAGCGGUGAAAUGCGCAGAUAUCAGGAGGAACACCGGUGGCGAAGGCGGGUCUCUGGGCCGUAACUGACGCUGAGGAGCGAAAGCAUGGGGAGCGAACAGG